rnacentral:lncRNA from 1 species
AGUCACCCUGCAGUGACCCGGCCAGUACAGCCAUGCCGGGUCUCAGCUCUGCUCACCCGCGCAGCUCCCAGAAACUUCCCCGGCUUGUCUCCACUGGAAUCGGGAUGGAAGGGAGCCACGGCUGGCUCAGCCCCUCUCGGAGCAGAAAGAGGAAACUUCUGAAAAGAAGAUGGGGGCUGGGGGAGGACAUCAAUCAGCACGGACAACACCAAAAACCACCCAGAAGACAGCUCAGUGGACCCUAGCAGUGGAUUCUACAUGUCUGCAGAAAAUGAGCAGAAAACAAGCCAGAGUUACAGCUAUCUGCAGAGAGACUACAUCCAGGAGGUCUGAAGACUGAAAGUAAUCACUGCAGUCUGACUUCUACCACUGACACCCUUCCCAUACAUAAUUUAAAUGUGUAAUUAUAAUACCAUUGCUUAGUUAACGGACACCAAUUCGUGCAGGAGCUGCCACAAACAGUAAUAAACCAGCUGUGUUAGAAAUGGAUCACUUAUCAGUGCGUGCCCAAGCCUCCUAAUGCCUCAUGAUGUUUAAUAAUUAAAUUGUGACACCUUGAACCCGCAGCUGACACCAUGAAUCACAGUGGAAUUCUCCAAAUGGAAUGCAGCCACACCUCAGCUUCUGUGCUGCGUGCUGCCACUGAGGACAUUCGAUACCAUUGAAGCCGUCAGAUAGAGGAUGAAGACGGAUGGCCUCUUGGCACCCAUCUCUUUGGCAUGAACGAUGUGGGGAAACGUGAAUGGAAAUGGGGAACUGUUGCUGGCACCCAGAAGUCAUCCGGUCCGGAUGAAGCCAAGUCACAAGGAAGUGCCUCCAAUUAUUCUUCAUAAAUUCCUCUGAGGUUUCACUUCUUGUCCACACAAGACUUUAAUAAAAUGUGGCAUCUAACUGAAUAAAGACUAUCCUUUCGGGUGUGUGUGUCAUGACAGUACUAUUUAUGGAGGACCUCCUGUGUAGCAGUUCUUGCACUGUUUUACGUAAUCAUCCCCUUUCAUCCUAACAAUCACUCCUGUGAAGUAUGUGUCCUUAUUUUCAUUUCGUUGUAGAGAAAACCAAGGCUCUGAGACAUUAAGCAAUGUGCCCAAGGACACACAGCUAGUAAGUGGCUGGAUUUGAGCGCAAGCCUACAAGAAACUGUAAGUUUCUUAUUUGUAUUUAUUAAUUCAUCAUAUUGUCAUUUCUUCAAAAUGCAACUGAAUCUCAUAAAAUGUCAGUGGCAGAAUCUAGGUGGAAGGUGCCCUGGUAUUCACUGUAAAAUUCCUUCAACUCGGCUGUAUAUUUGAAAAUUUUCAUGUUACAAUAUUAGGAAAAAAACCCUUGAUUUCCAGGUGUUUUUUCACCUGGACAAACUUGAGAACUUUGGAAAAGCUGGCUUACCUCCUCGAAUUCUAGUUGGCUGGCUUGGCUGGGUUGGCUGGGUGGGCCCUGGCACCCUCCACUCAAUGCCCACCUGCAUGUUAAAACGGGUCCUGCUAGGACCCUGGGCAGCCCAGGCACUUCUGACACAUGCCACAGACUUCCUCUGUACAGUAGAAUAGAUGUCCCUUAGGAAUAAAAAAAAAAAACAGGCAGCUUUCUGGUCGAAUACCACUCUAUGACACCUUCUGGGACCUUCCCUCCAAGUUUCUUCUACCAGAUCAACAAGAAGGAUUCAACUUGGUGUCUCUGUGUGUUUUGCUGUCUCAUGCUGCUUAUAAACUGCUUUGCCUUUAGCAAUGUCCCUCAGUUAUCUUGUUCUAAGGCUACAAUUAAGAAGGAAUCACUGUUGUGGAGGAACUCAGAGGCACCUCCAGCUCCCAUUAGCUGGUCCCUUAAUGCCGCUGAUGCGAGGCUCUGACAGUAAUUACUUUGCAAGUAUAAUGAGAUACUUAUGGGUCCAUCAGGUGCCCAACCCAUAGCAUGAUAUGAAAUAUGAAGAGUUAAGCUGGUGGGUAAUUUACACAACUGUCUACCAAGUCUCUCCAGGAUGAUUAAGAAAAGGAAAUGCCGGAUUGAAAAGAUGCCAAGCUUCCAGAGCGCGUUCAUGUGGCUCGAUUGACAGUGGCAACCAUUAUCGUCAUCACCGUCAUCGCUGCUUUUAACGGUUAAUGAUAAUAAGCCGUCACACACGGAUGCAGCACUUUGCAAUGCACAAAGCCCUCUUGCACUCAUGCUCUCCAGCGCUCCUCACUGCCAUCUGGGAAUCUCCACUUUGCAGAUGUGGAAACUGAAGCUCGGACGAUGGCAGUGACUCGCCCUGCUAGCCCUGCCGAGAGAGGUCUGCCUUUGCCUCCCUGAUUCUGAAUCAGAUAGGGUCAGGACUCCCUCUAUUCCCCUGGGCUCCUCAACCUGGCGCCCUCACCGCUUACUUGCGGGCCCCUCCUGCCCUCUUCUGCUCCAGACGGCAGGCUCUCUGAGGCAGGACUCUGAUUGGACAGCUUGGAUCAUGUGCUCAUUCAAAAGCCAAUCAGCAGCAGGGGGCUUGGCUCUGUAUUCACUCUUCCCAUGUUAGCUGCCCUUUUUUUUUUUUUUUUUUUUUUUUUUUUUGAGACACAGUCUCAUUCCUCUGCCCCGGCUGGAGUGGAUCUCAGCUCAAUGCAACCUCCACCUCCUGGGUUCAUGUGAUUCUCCUGCCUCAGCAUCUCGAAUAGCUGGGAAUACAGGCACCCGCUACCAUGCCCAGCUAAUUUUUGUAUUUUUAAUAGAGACGAGGUUUCACCAUGUUGGCCAGGCUGGUCUGGAACGCCUGACCUCAAGUGAUCUACCUGCCUUGGCCUGCCAAAGUUCUGGGAUUACAGGUGUGAGGCACUGCACCUGGCCUGCCCUAACUCCCGUUAGGAAUAUGGGAAACUCUUUUCCCAAAGCAGCCUGCACCUCGGUCUUCCCACCCCACCCUACUGAAGAAGGCUCCCAGAAACCAGCUUUGCUGAGCCCAGAACGGCCUGGCUCUGGCAGAUUUGCCCCCAGGCUGCAAGUGGGCGGCAGCACUCCCCCUACAUGUCCCUUUCUAUUUCCUGCCCCUCCCCCUGAGUCUUCCUUUCAUUCUUGCAGCCAGCUCCCAGCCCUGCUUCCCUGCCAGGACCCCAAUUCCCUAACUCCCUGGCAUCAAGACCUGCAUGGAUGUCCCCUGCACUUGUUUUGUCCCCGGAUGUGGCUCCUUGGACUGUCCAGCCCCACACCUGGCCUCUUGUUUCCCACCAGCUACAGCGGCCAAGGCUCCAGCAGGCCUUGUACUUGGCUGGCCCAGGCUUGGCUUUGAUGGACCAGUGACCCAAAUAAGUGACCUUGGAAAGGUCUUCCUAAAGGUGGUGGAGACCAUGUUCUUGAGAGUUGGAGUGGUGUUGGCUUGAGUGUGGGGCUGAGAUCUCACCCAGUGCUAGGGUCCAGGCUGCGAAAUGAGGCAUAGGAUGAGAGAGGUUCUGAGCCACAAAUGGGGUCCAUACCUAAGAGGAUGGGAUCAACCUAGGGAAGGAUUUGGAGGAGAGGCGUGUGUGGAAACAGAGCCUGGAUGCUGAGUCCCUGGAGGCCGGAGUGGGCCCUGGGGCACAGGGAGCCCCUGGCCCCGCCACUGAUGCCAAUUGGGGUGUCAGUCCCCCAACAAAUUCAGUCUGUCCAUAUCUAUUGCUGACACAGGGUUUAGAGAGGGCUUAAAUUCAGAUAAAUGGAAUUUGAAUUCCCUCUUUGUCUCUCAAAUGUGUGAAUUUUGGCAGCCAAGUUCCUCUCUCUGAGCCCAGUUUGUCCAUCUCAAGAUUGUGUGUGAUCAUACCCACCACACUGGGCCACCAGGAGGAAUGAGCGAAGCACCUCAUGUCAAAUGCCUGGCCCAGGCCUGUGUCUGGCAGGGACUCAUGGCUGCGGAAGGGUCAUUAUUUGCCCCCAGGGAUUUCUAGAGAGGAUCAGGAUGCCACGAGGGAUGCUAUUGGAAGCAAGUCACACAGAAGCCAGAGCCCUGGGCUUUCCUAGCAGCACUGGACAUGGGGCAGGGAACAAACCCGAGCCACACUUCUCAGAGGGUGGGCAUGGCAUUGAAAACGACGUGUGUAGGAAGCUUUUCCAAUACACAAGCUGGGCCCCGCCCCAGAACCUUGAGGGGCAGGAGGAGCACUGAGACAACCUUGGGUGGGGUGAGGCAGGGGGACGGCGGGGGGAGAUUUCCAGUCCCUUAGCUGGCGGAAGACUCCUGAGCUGGCAGAGAGCCCUCUUCUUGAAAGACUCUCAUGCACAGGCCAUCAGGAGGAUCACAAAGUUGUUUAUUUUCCCACCUAUAAGAAAAGAUGGAUGAUGCAGAGUGCCGAGAAAUCCC